CAGCCGCCGCGGUAAUACGUAGGUGGCAAGCGUUGUCCGGAAUUAUUGGACGUAAAGGGCUCGCAGGCGGUUUCUUAAGUCUGAUGUGAAAGCCCCCGGCUCAACCGGGGAGGGCCAUUGGAAACUGGGAAACUUGAGUGCAGAAGAGGAGAGUGGAAUUCCACGUGUAGCGGUGAAAUGCGUAGAGAUGUGGAGGAACACCAGUGGCGAAGGCGACUCUCUGGUCUGUAACUGACGCUGAGGAGCGAAAGCGUGGGGAGCGAACAGGAUUAGAUACCCCCGUAGUCCCUGUCUCUUAUAC
rnacentral:rRNA from 1 species